rnacentral:rRNA from 1 species
UACAUAGGGGGCAAGCGUUGUUCGGAAUUACUGGGCGUAAAGGGCGCGUAGGCGGCCUUCUAAGUCGAACGUGAAAUCCCCGGGCUCAACCCGGGAACUGCGUCCGAUACUGGAAGGCUUGAAUCCGGGAGAGGGAUGCGGAAUUCCAGGUGUAGCGGUGAAAUGCGUAGAUAUCUGGAGGAACACCGGUGGCGAAGGCGGCAUCCUGGACCGGUAUUGACGCUGAGGCGCGAAAGCCAGGGGAGCAAACGGG